rnacentral:tRNA from 6 species
CCGAAAUCGGUAGACGCUACGGACUUAAAAUCCGUCGACUUUAGAAAUCGUGAGGGUUCAAGUCCCUCU